rnacentral:rRNA from 1 species
UACGUAGGGGGCAAGCGUUGUCCGGAAUCAUUGGGCGUAAAGAGCGUGUAGGCGGCCCGAUAAGUCCGCCGUGAAAGUCCAGGGCUCAACCCUGGAAUGCCGGUGGAAACUGUCGGGCUGGAGUCCGGAAGAGGCGAGUGGAAUUCCUGGUGUAGCGGUGAAAUGCGCAGAUAUCAGGAGGAACACCAAUGGCGAAGGCAGCUCGCUGGGACGGUACUGACGCUGAGGAGCGAAAGCGUGGGGAGCGAACAGG